rnacentral:rRNA from 1 species
UGCCAGCCGCCGCGGUAAUACGAAGGGUCCAAGCGUUAUCCGGAUUUAUUGGGUUUAAAGGGUACGUAGGCGGAACAUUAAGUCAGUAGUGAAAGCCCAUCGCUCAACGAUGGAACUGCUAUUGAUACUGAUGUUCUUGAAUAUAGUUGAAGUAGGCGGAAUACGACAUGUAGCGGUGAAAUGCAUAGAUAUGUCGUGGAACACCAAUCGCGAAGGCAGCUUACUAAGCUACGAUUGACGCUGAGGCACGAAAGCGUGGGGAGCGAACAGGAUUAGAUA